UACGUAGGGGGCAAGCGUUGUCCGGAAUUAUUGGGCGUAAAGAGCGCGUAGGCGGUCCGAUAAGUCGGCUGUGAAAGUCAAGGGCUCAACCCUUGAAAGCCGGCCGAUACUGUCGGACUAGAGUCCGGAAGAGGCGAGUGGAAUUCCCGGUGUAGCGGUGAAAUGCGUAGAUAUUGGGAGGAACACCGGUGGCGAAGGCGGCCCCCUGGACCGGUACUGACGCUGAGGCGCGAAAGCGUGGGUAGCAAACGGG
rnacentral:rRNA from 1 species